GAUGAAGAACGUAGUGAAAUGCGAUAAGUAAUGAGAAUUGCAGAAUUCAGUGAAUCAUCGAAUCUUUGAACGCACCUUGCACCCUUUGGCAUUCCGAAGGGUAUGCUCGUUUGAGUGUCAUUGUACUCUCACUCUCCCGAUCUUUGGAUCGGGAGUGGUGGACUUGGGUGUUGCUGCUUUACCGUGGCUCACCUCAAAUGGAUUCGUGCAACUCCUGGUUGGACAUAGUACGGCGUGAUAAGUGUCUUCGCCGGCACCUCACUAGAGGGUGGCUGACCGGGAGCUCUGUGCUUCAAACCGUCUUCGGACAACAACUGACAACUUGACCUCAAAUCGAGUAGGACCACCCGCUGAACUUAAGCAUAUCAAUAAGCGGAGGA
rnacentral:misc_RNA from 1 species